UCGAACGGACUUAUACUGAAACCUAGUGAUUUAUGAGUUAGUGGCGGACGGGUGAGUAACGCGUGGAUAACCUGCCGUAUACCGGGGGAUAACACUUAGAAAUAGGUGCUAAUACCGCAUAAGCGCACGGCUCCGCAUGGGGCAGUGUGAAAAACUCCGGUGGUAUACGAUGGAUCCGCGUCUGAUUAGCUAGUUGGCGGGGUAACGGCUCACCAAGGCAGCGAUCAGUAGCCGGCCUGAGAGGGUGGACGGCCACAUUGGGACUGAGACACGGCCCAAACUCCUACGGGAGGCAGCAGUGGGGAAUAUUGCACAAUGGGGGAAACCCUGAUGCAGCGACGCCGCGUGAGUGAAGAAGUAUCUCGGUACGUAAAGCUCUAUCAGCAGGGAAGAUAAUGACGGUACCUGACCAAGAAGCCCCGGCUAACUACGUGCCAGCAGCCGCGGUAAUACGUAGGGGGCAAGCGUUAUCCGGAUUUACUGGGUGUAAAGGGAGCGUAGACGGCAGCACAAGUCUGGAGUGAAAUCCCGGGGCUUAACCCCGGAACUGCUUUGGAAACUGUGCGGCUGGAGUGCAGGAGGGGUAAGCGGAAUUCCUAGUGUAGCGGUGAAAUGCGUAGAUAUUAGGAGGAACACCGGUGGCGAAGGCGGCUUACUGGACUGUAACUGACGUUGAGGCUCGAAAGCGUGGGGAGCAAACAGGAUUAGAUACCCUGGUAGUC
rnacentral:rRNA from 1 species